rnacentral:rRNA from 1 species
AUUGAACGCUGGCGGCAUGCCUUACACAUGCAAGUCGAACGGCAGCACGGGUGCUUGCACCUGGUGGCGAGUGGCGAACGGGUGAGUAAUACAUCGGAACAUGUCCUGUAGUGGGGGAUAGCCCGGCGAAAGCCGGAUUAAUACCGCAUACGAUCUACGGAUGACAGCGGGGGACCUUCGGGCCUCGCGCUAUAGGGUUGGCCGAUAGCUGAUUAGCUAGUUGGUGGGGUAAAGGCCUACCAAGACGACGAUCAGUAGCUGGUCUGAGAGGACGACCAGCCACACUGGGACUGGGACACGGCCCAGACUCCUACGGGAGGCAGCAGUGGGGAAUUUUGGACAAUGGGCGAAAGCCUGAUCCAGCAAUGCCGCGUGUGUGAAGAAGGCCUUCGGGUUGUAAAGCACUUUUGUCCGGAAAGAAAUCCUUGGCUCUAAUACAGUCGGGGGAUGACGGUACCGGAAGAAUAAGCACCGGCUAACUACGUG